rnacentral:tRNA from 1 species
GGCGCCGUAGCCAAGUGGUAAGGCAUGGGUUUGCAAAACCUAUAUUCACGAGUUCGAUUCUCGUCGGCGCCU